AUUGAACGCUGGCGGCAGGCCUAACACAUGCAAGUCGAGCGGAUGAAGGGAGCUUGCUCCUGGAUUCAGCGGCGGACGGGUGAGUAAUGCCUAGGAAUCUGCCUGGUAGUGGGGGAUAACGUCCGGAAACGGGCGCUAAUACCGCAUACGUCCGGAGGGAGAAAGUGGGGGAUCUUCGGCCCCCACGCAAUCGGUUGAGCCUGGGUGGGUUUAGCUGGUUGGUGGGGAAAGGGCCUACCAAGCGGACGACCCCUAACGGGUCUGGGAGGAUGAUCAGUUCCACUGGAACUGAGACACGGUCCAGACUCCUACGGGAGGCCGCAGUGGGGAAUAUUUGACAAUGGGCGAAAGCCUGAUCCAGCCCUGCCGCGUGUGUGAAGAAGGUCUUCGGAUUGUAAAGCACUUUAAGUUGGGAGGAAGGGCAGUAAGUUAAUACCUUGCUGUUUUGACGUUACCAACAGAAUAAGCACCGGCUAACUUCGUG
rnacentral:rRNA from 1 species